AAACAAACGCUUAAAUAUAGAGACAAAGCUGCAUUUUGGUCGUUUUGUUGUACGCUUUUCCGUCUUUCUUUUUUUUAUGGAAGGUAUGGGAUGGCCUGGAAGAGCAACAGACACCGCGGCGACUGCCAUUCUUUCUGCUGAAAUCAGGGAUUUUCAUUGUGAACUAAAACUGUGAUAAUUUUGGAUUGGUACAUUUACGACCGUAAACUAGAAGUGGAGCGGAUGCGAUUCUGUGUCGUCAAGUGGCCCCGAUGCUUAGAUCGAUUCAGAAUCUCCAGUGCUAAUCGACAAAGACUCAGCGUUCAAGUGGUCGCCGAUGCAGCAUUUCGGAUGUUUGUUGAUACUAUGUUUUAGCGUUUAAGUGGGCCGCAACAAUGUACUUGGUGAUAUAUAGUUACUGGUACCGUAGCAGGUGUAGCUAUAGUGGGUGUGAAGGUGGCAUGUGGUGUAGUCUCUGGUGUGAAAAUUGUUGUGUUCUUUGGGAAACAUGCGACGACAAAUACUACUAUCAGUAGUAUAUCGAGCAUCGUGUAAGUCCUUGUUGUUUGGAUCGUGGUUUCCCACUGUAAUUUGUUGAUCUGCAUUUUUGUUUCCAUAUCCUCCAUCCUCAGCUGUUGUAUUCCCAACUGGUGGGUUGUCCUGUUUCUCUUAAUCGUCUCUACCCGAGGUAUGUCCAACAUCAAUUCUUCUGUGCCAAGCCUCUCCACCGCUUCGUAUUGUACGUUGUACACCAUCGCCUUGCAAUGGGUGAAUGUUUUGUCGACUCCGAAAUCCGUCUGCAGUUUGACAUUCCUUCCAUUGAAAUUUGCGAUGUAGCCGGGCUCCGGUUCAAAGACCGUUGCGACCAAUCCGACGUCCUUCGCCUCGCCUUCGCCUUCAAAUUUGGGCGGUAACAAAAAUAGCACUGUAGUAGUUUGCUAAAACUAAAUAAAAAAAAGAAUUCAACAAAUGGAUUAUAUCUGAAGAGCUGUUGGCAAUGACAGCUGCGCAUCGUCUUGGCAUGGAAUCCAAGUCCUGGCACCGUUUUUGAGGAAUUUUGCUCCAUGAAUCCUUGACCACACCCCAAAGUUCCUCGUUAUUAUUGGGUUUGGCUUUAGAAACC
ensembl:ncRNA lncRNA:CR46450 long non-coding RNA:CR46450